GCCUUGAUGGCUCAGUUGGCAGAACAUCAGACUUUUAAUCUGAUGGCCCAGGGUUCAAGUCUCUGUUCAGGUA